AUGCUAUUCCUAAACCAGUGUCAAGUAAGUCUACCAGCAAGAUAAAUCACAAAACCUAUAAUUAGAAUAUUAGUUAGUAAAACCUGUAAAGUACUACAUUUAUUUUAAAUUAUUACCUUCUUUGUUGUCAUGGGAGUCACUGUAGAUAGAAGCCAGGGUAAACAACGUGAAAAUGACAAAAGCCAGCAAGAUGAAAGCUAAUUCAAGGUUUGUGAAGGGCAGAUCCAUGAACUGCUACUGCUUUGCCUAGGAAAAAGUGUAAACAUUUACUUGCCGGACUGGAUGUGGAAAGGGACUGCUCUCAAUAGAGUAGUUAAAUCUUUACUCAGGAGGAUACUAGAUCCUGGUCAAACUGGUUAAGUAACUUCAGCGGUUAAGAAGGAAACAAUACUGCUGGCUCGUACAAGAAUCUGAAAUUCUGGCCCCACUGGGAUCUAUAGAAAGCUGAUCCAUUACACUGGUACCUCCUUAUAUGCUGAUGCUGAUGUCACAGCUGCUGGUGAUACUUCUGAAACUGAACUGUGGACAUGGCCCUAUACACAGUACACUUGGACCCAAAAAGUAUCAGAAAAAAAAGAGGAAAAACAUUAUCUGAACUUUCUGCUUUAAUUAAAAUCCAGCUUUGCAACUGACAGAAAUAAUUUGAUCUCAUAAAAACGGUUGACCAGACCAAACAAAGCAUAAGUCAAAAAGUGACUUAUGAAAGUGACUUUGUGACUUUGUGUCUACAGCUUCAAUCCAUUUAUUGUUCCUAUUGCUGACAACAUGAGGUAUCUACUUUACACAAGCCAAGCUAGGCAAAUAUGAGCUUUGUAUGAUAUUAAUUUUUUUUUCUUAAUGCAGAGGGACAUAUCAUUGGUCUCAAUCAAAUUUCUACUUGUUUUCAUUUCUUCAUCCAUCACAUAAUAAAAUUAUGCCACACUGCCAUUUGUUCAGAAAGAUUUAUCAUGUGAAUGUGGCCUUCUUUGUUUUAAAGUAACAAAUAUAUU